GCUGAUCCCUCCCUCUUGACGAACUGUGAUGCCAUUAAUUUGGUGUCGCAGGGAAUCAGGACUGUUACUUUGAAAAAAUUAGAGUGUUUAAAGCAGGCUUACGCUUGAAUACAUUAGCAUGGAAUAAUGAAAUAGGACGUUUGAUCCUAUUUUGUUGGUUUCUAGGAUUGACGUGAUGAUUAAUAGGGAUAGUUGGGGGCAUUAGUAUUCAAUUGUCAGAGGUGAAAUUCUUGGAUUUAUUGAAGACUAACUACUGCGAAAGCAUUUGCCAAGGAUGUUUUCAUUAAUCAAGAACGAAAGUUAGGGGAUCGAAGACGAUCAGAUACCGUCGUAGUCUUAACCAUAAACUAUGCCGACUAGGGAUCGGAUGAUGUUAAUUUUUUAAUGACUCAUUCGGCGCCUUACG
rnacentral:rRNA from 1 species